UACGUAGGGGGCAAGCGUUGUCCGGAUUUAUUGGGCGUAAAGAGCGUGUAGGCGGCUUUACAGGUCCGUUGUGAAAACUCGAGGCUCAACCUCGAGACGCCGGUGGAAACCGUAAGGCUAGAGUCCGGAAGAGGAGAGUGGAAUUCCUGGUGUAGCGGUGAAAUGCGCAGAUAUCAGGAAGAACACCCGUGGCGAAGGCGGCUCUCUGGACGGUACUGACGCUGAGACGCGAAAGCGUGGGGAGCGAACAGG
rnacentral:rRNA from 1 species